rfam:Klebsiella pneumoniae IS46, WGS project CBWL01000000 data, contig: c31
UAUGGCCGGUGCGGGAGUCCGCGCCGCGAACCUGCCGCUGUUUCUGCAGGCGGGGGUGAAAGAGGUCCAUAGCUCUGCUGGCCACUGGUUGCCGUCGGAAAUGCGCUUUCGUCAUCCGGGCGUUUCGAUGUCAGCCGAUCCCGAUGCCGAUGAAUACAGACGCUACGCCGUGAAUGGCGCAGCGGUGGCGGAGAUGAAAAGGAUUAUCUCCGCCUGGAGAAGUUAAACGGUUUUUUGCUGCACAUCAUGUCGCCCAAUAUGAUGAUUGCCCGUACCAGGCCCCUGCCCAUUAAACAGGGGCCUUUUUUA